AGGAAACCAAAAGCAAUAAGAGGGAGGGAAGGCAGAGCAACCAAUCAAGGGCAGGGUGAGACUCAAAACGAGCGGGCUCCCUGGGGAGCCAGACAGAGGCUGGGGGUGAUGGCGGAGCUACAGCAGCUGCAGGAGUUUGAGAUCCCCACGGGCCGGGAGGCUCUGAGGGGCAACCACAGUGCCCUGCUGCGGGUCGCUGACUACUGCGAGGACAACUAUGUGCAGGCCACAGACAAGCGGAAGGCACUGGAGGAGACCAUGGCCUUCACUACCCAGGCACUGGCCAGCGUGGCCUACCAGGUGGGCAACCUGGCCGGGCACACUCUGCGCAUGUUGGACCUGCAGGGGGCCACCCUGCGGCAGGUGGAAGCCCGUGUAAGCACGCUGGGCCAGGGGGAAGGGUGCUGGACACAGACCACCCCUCUCCGUCACCUUGAACCCUGUCAUGCAGAUGGUGAACAUGCACAUGGAGAAGGUGGCCCGAAGGGAGAUUGGCACCUUAGCCACUGUCCAGCGGCUGCCCCCCGGCCAGAAGGUCAUCGCCCCAGAGAACCUACCCCCUCUCACGCCCUACUGCAGGAGACCCCUCAACUUUGGCUGCCUGGACGACAUUGGCCAUGGGAUCAAGGACCUCAGCACGCAGCUGUCAAGAACAGGCACCCUGUCUCGAAAGAGCAUCAAGGCCCCUGUGACACCCGCCUCCGCCACCUUGGGGAGACCACCCCGGAUUCCCGAGCCAGUGCACCUGCCGGUGGUGCCCGACGGCAGACUCUCCGCCGCCUCCUCUGCCUCUUCCCUGGCCUCGGCCGGCAGUGCCGAAGGUGUCGGUGGGGCCCCCACGCCCAAGGGGCAGGCAGCACCUCCAGCCCCACCUCUCCCCAGCUCCUUGGACCCACCUCCUCCACCAGCAGCCGUCGAGGUGUUCCAGCGGCCUCCCACGCUGGAGGAGUUGUCCCCACCCCCACCGGCCUUUCUGCUUUUCCCCCAAGACGAAGAGCUGCCCUUGCCACUGGACCUGCCUCCUCCUCCACCCCUGGAUGGAGAUGAAUUGGGGCUGCCUCCACCCCCACCAGGAUUUGGGCCUGAUGAGCCCAGCUGGGUGCCUGCCUCAUACUUGGAGAAAGUGAUGACACUGUACCCAUACACCAGCCAGAAGGACAAUGAGCUCUCCUUCUCUGAGGGCACUGUCAUCUGUGUCACUCGCCGCUACUCCGAUGGCUGGUGCGAGGGCGUCAGCUCAGAGGGGACUGGAUUCUUCCCUGGGAACUAUGUGGAGCCCAGCUGCUGACAGCCCAGGGCUCUCUGGGCAGCUGAUGUCUGCACUGAGUGGGUUUCAUGAGCCCCAAGCCAAAACCAGCUCCAGUCACAGCUGGACUGGGUCUGCCCACCUCUUGGGCUGUGAGCUGUGUUCUGUCCCUCCUCCCAUUGGAGGGAGAAGGGGUCCUGGGGAGAAUUUAUCCAGAGGCCUGCUGCAGAUGGGGAAGAGCUGGAAACCAAGAAGUUUGUCAACAGAGGACCCCUACUCCAUGCAGGACAGGGUCUCCUGCUGCAAGUCCCAACUUUGAAUAAAACAGAUGAUGUCCUGUGACUGCCCCACAGAGAUAAGGGGCCAGGAGGGAUUGAAAGGCAUCCCAGUUCUAAGGCUGCUGCUAAUUACAGCCCCCAACCUCCAACCCACCAGCUGACCCAGAAGCAGCAUCUUCCCAUUUCCUCAGUACCCACAAAGUGCAGCCCACAUUGGACCCCAGACACCCCUCUGCAGCCAUUGACUGCAACUUGUUCUUUUGCCCAUUG